ACGUAGGGGGUGAGCGUUGUUCGGAAUUACUGGGCGUAAAGCGCUCGUAGGCGGUCUGGAAAGUUGGGGGUGAAAGCCCGGGGCUCAACCCUGGAACUGCCGCCAAAACUCCCGGUCUUGAGUCAGAUAGAGGUGAGCGGAAUUCCGGGUGUAGCGGUGAAAUUCGUAGAUAUCAGGAGGAACACCGGUGGCGAAGGCGGCUCACUGGGCCGGUACUGACGCUGAGGAGCGAAAGCUUGGGGAGCAAACAG
rnacentral:rRNA from 1 species